UUCAAAUCACGAGAUCUGGAAGUGAUUAAAAACAAGAUCGGUAUAGCGAACGGCUUAUCGACACGAAAUAAAAACUCACAGAAUUGCAGUAUUUGUUGACAAAUAUGUAAAAGCAAUAAAAACAAGCAUAUACGUGCUAGAUCACAUUAUGAGAUUCGCUACGUAACUACAGAUAGCUGAAUUUCAUUAUAUCUAGGUAAUUUAACGCAAAAUUAUACUACGCUACCUAAAUUAUCUAAGAGAUCAGAAUUUGUUCAAAAUUAAGAGCGUUAUUUCGUUCUCUAGAAUACUUCUUGAAAAUUCAUUGUCUAGAAAAUCGUUUCAUGCAUCGGUACGAAUACGAUAUAAGAACAUUACGGUCAUGUUUCUCUUGCAAUAAAUCGUCGUUACGCGGUUAAUUGUUUUUCCCUACAAGACCGAUAAGGACUUGCAUUUACUGCACUUUGACGCGAACACGAUCAAAGAAACGAUCAUGUUACGCUCAUUGUACAGACACAUACAUACGCAACUUGGAAAAUAAUUACCUCAAUUAGUCAUCUUCAAAUCGAUUUUAAAAGCAAAGACUCGCCUUUAACUGGAGCAAAUAUUUGACAGCGCAGGUAUAAGCGAGAGAAACUUCAUCGAUCGACAAAUUUCUCAAACAAUAAAGUUUUAUCGUUAAAUCAACAACACAGAAGAAACAUAGUUAUCACGUUGCGUAUCCUGUCUGCGUAAACCAAAUUUGAAAAAUCUACAGGCCGAGUGCGACUUAUCGAUAUUUUGAAUGUCCUCCACGAUUACUCGAUUUCAUUCACUGCGAAAGACCACUUGCACGAUUGAACUAGUAUUAUUAAUAUUAUCGAGACUAGUAUUAUCAUAACCUACAAUUUGUACCUUGUCAAUUCACUGAUAUUAUUGGUUAGUAAUAUACCGUAUGAGAUGACGAAGAUCUCGUAACUCGUCGAAAAAGAUGAAACAGACAUUUGUAUAGACAGAAAUGAUAUUUCAGCUGGAAAUUUUCAAAGCAAAGCUCUCUCUGUAUUCUCCCUUUCUCUGUCAAGAGCAUGGCGAGGCACGCCCGUGUCGUACGUGUACAUAUGCUCACGAGCAGCCGUUAGCGGUUAAACACGAACGCGUCCUGUAUCAUGAUUCAUGAGGGAAUAUGAGCAGAACGUCAAUGAAUCGUAAUACAUAAUGACAUAUAGAAUCAAUCUAUGCUGCUUUCAUAUCGAAACGUUCGCAGAUUAACCUAAUCUCGAUAUAUCGCGCAUCGAAACAAUAGUUGCGAUAAUCUUACAGAUUGCACACCGUGCCUUACACUAUACCCUCGAAAGCAAGGUUAUCAUUGAAUACUCAUAGUCUUCUGUAUUGCACACUUAGAUCACGCUAUUGUAUAUCCAAAAUAACCGUUACUUUGCGCAUGUACAUUGACAUUUCCGUGAAUCUUGAAUAUCGAUUUAUAACUUAAGAAUAUUCGUAAUGCGAAAGAUGUGUUUGAUAUUGGCAGCUCCACUGCAACAUAACACUAACGCGAGUAACGAGGUAACACAGUGUAUAAAUUGUACACUUAUCAAAUAUGUAUUUUAAUCUUUUUCAGUGGCAAAGACCGAGCAGCAAGAAAUUCAUCGAUCACCGAACCUGUACGAGCAAGAGAGAUCGCGGGGAACAAAAACGACGGCUUGGAAUGCGUGAAUGAAUUAUUUAUAGAGAACAGAAAGUAAGGAAGAUGACGAACCUGAGUGGCAUGAUUCUCAGUCCUAUGCAUACAAGCUUAGAUGCGCGUGAAUUCUUUUGUGAAAACGUACGAGAGAAAAUAGUAAGCACGGUAACGGAAUUCGUAUCGUAGAUCGUAGUAAGAUGACAAGUUACUGUCAUACACCGCCGCACCGGUAGUCAUCGAAGAUUUCAUGAGAAAGGAAGCGAAGAAGCACAGCGAUGAGUAGACCCGGGGUUGGGUACGCAGAGAAAGGAGGGGAUAUACCAAAGGAGAGAAGAACGUCGCCCGCGGCUAGCAACCGCAAAGGCAAAACUCCCGUGAGUGGUUUGCCACCGUGAACUGGUUUUGGGGGGUAUCCUUGUUACGCGUUGGCGAAAACAACGGGUCAGCAUCCGAUGCACUUCAACGUGUGUACUAUUCGGUGUUGUCGUAUAUGAGUAUAUCAUAAAAGAACGAAAAAACGAUAAAGAUAGAUAGGUGGAGGAAGAAACAGUCUCAAGUAGACUUACCCAGAGUUCUGUACCCCAGCUCAUGUUUGCUGGGCUGGGUAAACCAGGCACAAGCAGGUUUGGUCUCACUCGACACUUCACAUGUAGCGUCGCAAUCCAAAAAGCACUUCUUAUAUAUCGAACACGCACAAAAAA